rnacentral:rRNA from 1 species
GACGAACGCUGGCGGCGUGCCUAACACAUGCAAGUCGAGCGGAGAUACAUCGACGGAAGGAUUCGUCCGGAAGAUGGUGUAUUUUAGCGGCGGACGGGUGAGUAACGCGUGGGCAAUCUGCCCUCUGCACAGGGAUAACUUAGAGAAAUCUGAACUAAUACCUGAUAAGCUUCCGAGGUGGCAUCGCUUUGGGAGAAAAGAUUUAUCGGCAGAGGAGGAGCCCGCGGCUGAUUAGCUAGUUGGUGGGGUAACGGCCUACCAAGGCGACGAUCAGUAGCCGGCCUGGGAGGGUGAACGACCACAUUGGGACUGAGACACGGCCCAGACUCCUACGGGAGGCAGCAGUGGGGAAUAUUGGGCAAUGGGGGAAACCCUGACCCAGCGACGCCGCGUGAGUGAAGACGGCCUUCGGGUUGUAAAGCUCUGUUGCAGAGGACGAUAAUGACGGUACUCUGUGAGGAAGCCACGGCUAACUACGUGCCAGCCGCCGCCGUAAAAC